rnacentral:misc_RNA from 1 species
CGCACAUUGCGCCCAUGAGUAUUCUCUUGGGCAUGCCUGUUCGAGCGUCAUUUCAACCCUUAAGCCUAGCUUAGUGUUGGGAAUCUACUGCCUUGUAGUUCCCGAAAACCAACGGCGGAUUUACAGUAUCCUCUGAGCGUAGUAAUCUUUAUCUCGUUUUUGUUAGGUGCUGCGACUCUAGCCGCUAAACCCCCUAUUUUCUAAAGGUUGACCUCGGAUCAGGUAGGAAUACCCGCUGAACUUAA